rnacentral:rRNA from 1 species
UGUAAACCCCUGUUGGCGGGGACGAGGCAGGACGGUACCCGCCGAGGAAGCCCCGGCUAACUCCGUGCCAGCAGCCGCGGUAAGACGGAGGGGGCGAGCGUUGUCCGGAUUUACUGGGCGUAAAGGGCGUGUAGGCGGCGCGCUUGGUUGCCGGUGAAAGCCCCCGGCUCAACCGGGGAGGGUCCGGCAAGACGGGCGCGCUCGAGGCCGGCAGAGGCAGGUGGAAUUCCCGGUGGAGCGGUGAAAUGCGUAGAGAUCGGGAGGAACACCGGUGGCGAAGGCGGCCUGCUGGGCCGGGCCUGACGCUGAGGCGCGAAAGCGUGGGGAGCGAACCGGAUUAGAUACCCUGGUAGUCAAGGGCGAAUUCGUU